CGCGUAGGUGGCUAAUUAAGUCAAAUGUGAAAUCCCCGAGCUUAACUUGGGAAUUGCAUUCGAUACUGGUUGGCUAGAGUAUGGGAGAGGAUGGUAGAAUUCCGCGUGUAGCAGUGAAAUGCGUAGAGAUCUGGAGGAAUACCGAUGGCGAAGGCAGCCAUCUGGCCUAAUACUGACGCUGAGGCACGAAAGCAUGGGGAGCAAACAGGAUUAGAUACCCUUGUA
rnacentral:rRNA from 1 species